rnacentral:rRNA from 1 species
GAUGAACGCUGGCGGCGUGCCUAAUACAUGCAAGUCGAGCGAACAGACGAGGAGCUUGCUCCUCUGACGUUAGCGGCGGACGGGUGAGUAACACGUGGAUAACCUACCUAUAAGACUGGGAUAACUUCGGGAAACCGGAGCUAAUACCGGAUAAUAUAUUGAACCGCAUGGUUCAAUAGUGAAAGACGGUUUUGCUGUCACUUAUAGAUGGAUCCGCGCCGCAUUAGCUAGUUGGUAAGGUAACGGCUUACCAAGGCGACGAUGCGUAGCCGACCUGAGAGGGGGGUAGGCCACACUGGAACGGAGACACGGUCCAGGCUCCUACGGGAGGCAGCAGUAGGGAAUCUUCCGCAGUGGGCGAAAGCCUGACGGAGCAACGCCGCGUGAGUGAUGAAGGUCUUCGGAUCGUAAAACUCUGUUAUUAGGGAAGAACACAUGUGUAAGUAACUAUGCACGUCUUGACGGUACCUAAUCAGAAAGCCACGGCUAACUACGUG